GAACGAAUCGUGAGAGUCGUCAACCGGGAAGAUGACGGAUGUACAAGUGAAUUCGAACAAGGACGACACCGGCAGCAAAUUGCAGCAGGAUGACGACGUCAUGCAGCGAACAGGUAUCUUAUCUUACCUGGUAAUGAAUAUCAAUGCAAGGAACAUGCACGAGGGAAAGGAUAAGUUAAAUUAUCGAUUCUUAACGAUAAGAGAGAACUCCGGCUCGUGGCUCGAUUCCAAGGGGGCGUUUGCAUGGCUUCCAUCGUUGUGGAUUAGUAAUCUUCGACUAGACGACUACGGGGAGCAGUACACCCUAUGAAAAAAAAUUCUUCGCUGUCUUUAGUCAAUCUUAAGUUAAAGUUAAUAGUCAGGUAAAAAAAAUCAAAUCUUCAUUGUCGAAUUAAAAGAAGUUAUGCAGUGAAGCAAAAUCUUCAGCAACCAGAAAUAGUCGACAACCGUGAAUUUGAUAUUUUCUGCAAAUAAUAUAGUCACGUAUGUAACAUUUUAAUAUUAUUUUAUUAUCGAUCUUCUCGUAUUUCUAUACAAGAAUGUGGCGCCUGUGGGUCGCGACUCAACACAUUAGUUCAUCAUUUGUCGAUAAUAUCGCCACUUGGAACAUAAUAUUAGGGUAUACCACAUUGAGAAAUGAAUGAAACAACUGUUUCAUUGAAGAAGUUUGACUGGAUCUUUAUACAGUUAACGACAUGUAACCGACGAUGAGGCGCGAAAUAAGCAAGGGGGUAUCAAUGACGGGCUUACAGCUACUGGAUAAUUAAUCAAUGGAGAUAUAGGCAAACUCUAUAACCUCUAUACAAAUU